CACAUACACAUACAGUGUUCUGGAAAAGCAGCCGUGAAGUGUUACUAGAACUGAGGCCUCUUCUGGGAUGUUGCUAAGGAAAGUUCACAAUCUCGGGCUGCUAAUUAAAAUUACUUCUACUUAUUGCGCAUAAAUUAGGUCCUAAUAAGCUGCAGUUGGAUACAAAGAAAACAGCACUGACAGCAGAGAGAAAAUCAAAAUGGAAUCUUUCAUGUAAUUAGCAUACACAGUCCACACAGGGCACACAGAAGACGGGUGAGCGGUGGAGAGCGAAGUCUUUGCAGGCAUUGAAAGACAAGCCCCGCAGGCUUUUGAGCUCUGACCAGUCCAGAAGUGAAGGACAAGUGCCCAGGAGAGAUUAUGAUUUCAAGCCAGAAUGAUGUGAGUAUGAGAAGUUGAGGAUUAGUGUCAGAAGAACCAAAUUAAGUCAUAAUCAUUUAUACCUUUCAAAGGUUCCUCUUAAAACAUAACUUGAUGAAUGUGUUCAAGUUCCACUCUUAAUGAAAAUAAUUAUUUUUGGAUAGCUAGUGAGAGAGAGAGAGAGAUGCAGGAAGUCUGAAUAUAUCCAUGUGUUGGAUUUUCAAAAACGUCAGAGGCCCAGUGGGACUUCACGGAGAAGGCAAAUUCCGGGUUGCCAGUUCUUGGAAGUUGUCCUGUUCACCAGCAAGCCAGAGGGGAAACUUACUGGGCCGCCCCUCGAUGCCUUCCAGCACACGCCGGCCUCCUCGGAGGCGCCAAGGGUGUCCCGCCAGACCGCCUGCUGCGUGACAGGGAGGAGGGGCCAUCUGCCGCUUGCACAUCUGAGCAUUACAGCGUUUGAAUGAGGGCACGAUGACUUCCACAAACGCCGUGAAUGCUUCUUGUGUGAAGCAGCUGCUUUCACUUUGUUGAAAGGAAACCGUUUUUCAGCGUUCCAAUGUACUCGGCCAGAUUUUCGCCGGGAGGAUGAUGAGCCAAUGCUGGCUGUUUGUAAACCCUGCUUAUUAACCAGGGCUUCCAAACUCAGCAGCCCACGGGGUCAGGCCGGCCCUGGACAGGAGCGAAACUCUCUGGGCCGUGGGGCAGCCGCUGCUCCGCUACAGCCGCCCAUGCAGGGAUCCCCUCCCGGCUACACAGGGACCUGGGACCCCCUGAAAAGAAACGGGGGUUUUAUUUUUUUCCUUGGUUUAUUCUUAAUGACGCACUUUGGAAUCUUUACAAAAAAAG
rnacentral:lncRNA from 1 species